GACGAACGCUGGCGGCGUGCCUAAUACAUGCAAGUCGAACGCAGUGGGGACGGGUGAGUAACACGUGGGUAACCUCCCAUCAGAGGGGAUAACACUUGGAAACAGGUGCUAAACCGAUACUGAUGGAUGGACCCGCGGUGCAUUAGCUAGUUGGUUAGGUAACGGCUCACCAAGGCCACGAUGCAUAGCCGACCUGGGGCGGUGAUCGGACACUGUGGGACGGAGACACGGCCCAGACUGCGCGGGGAGGCAGGAGGAGGGAAUCUACGGCAAUGGCCGAAAGUCUGACCGAGCAACUCCGCGUGAGUGAAGAAGGUUUUCGGUUCGUAAAACUCUGUUGUUAGGGAAGCGGUAUCUAACCAGAAAGCCACGGCUAACUACUUGCCAGCAGCCGCGGUAAUU
rnacentral:rRNA from 1 species